rnacentral:lncRNA from 1 species
GGCAGUAAGGAGUCAACUGAAUGACCAAAGCGUCGGUUGCUUCCACUUGUGGCCUUCUUCGACCGCCGUGACACCUUAAUAUCAACUCACCCCCUCUUCCAUACAUAAUUAGGUAAAGACCUAGGGGUCUGGAGAGGAAACGUGGGAGAGAGCGACCCCGAGUCGUGGUUUAAGUCAAAGAGGCAUGUUUAACCCUAGGAACUGAGUCGCGUUAAAGAUUUUUUCUCCUAGUAUUUCUUUCUUUUUAGAAGAAGAAGAACUCGGUUAUAUGCUUAGUGAGAUCAUGAAGCCCUUCUGGAAAGAACUCAACCAGCCAUCUGAUAAAGCAACCUUGGCUUGGCUAGACGAAGAAAAGACGGAAGGAAAGCGCUACCCCCGUAUGGCUUGCAAUAGUGGUUUGAAUACCCCGGGCUUAUAGGCGUGACAGGUCUGUUGUCUGUCUCAGAGGCGGAUUAGCUACAAAAUGGAUAUAACCGGGACAGAAGUCUAAAUGCCAAAUAGAAGUUAAGUCCCUACGGAUCAGCUACAGGUACGAGGUCACUGUUCUAAGGGAAAGAGGUCUCCCGGACCAUGCUAACGUAAGCGUUAAUAAUGGGCAUUGGAACUUUCCUCCUAGCCGUCAUGAGCUCAUACUAUAAACCUCACAGAUCCCACUCAAUCUUUUACACCAAUGUAUCGUGCUCCCUCGACCAGGUCAUCAAAAGAAAAUACUGAAAAAAUCUUUCUGAAG